CCAAUGAAAAUGUCACCAAAACAAUGUCCACCAACAAUGUCCAGGGCAUCUGAUGGGCAAGCCAACGGAGCAGGAGCAGGACCCAAAA